CACGUAGGGCGCAAGCGUUGUCCGGAAUUAUUGGGCGUAAAGAGCUCGUAGGCGGUCUGUUGCGUCCGCUGUGAAAACUCGGGGCUUAACCCCGAGCCUGCAGUGGAUACGGGCAGACUAGAGGUGAGGUAGGGGAGAAUGGAAUUCCCGGUGUAGCGGUGAAAUGCGCAGAUAUCGGGAGGAACACCGGUGGCGAAGGCGGUUCACUGGGCCUUACCUGGACGCU
rnacentral:rRNA from 1 species